GGGAUAUGAAUUUAUUUUAUUUAAUUGAGCAUAUAGCACUUUAGUAGAAUGGAAAAAAAUGAUUUAUGCAGCUAACUUGACCUGAUUGGGCCACAACGCUUUGUUUGAUUUCAUUUAGCUUAUUAUUGGGAAAGUGGCGCUGGAGAUUUGCUCGCAAGAGGAAUAGAUGGUGGAGAAUGGUUGUGGUUUCAAAGUAUGGGAGUGAUUGGGGGGAUUGGACCUGUUAAGACAUAUCUUUGUCUUAUGACACAAGCCUUUUGGGGGGAUCGGACCUAUUUAGUAGUAUCUUGGCCUUAUGUGGCACAAGCCUUUUCGAGCCAGUUUAUUUUGUUAGAUUUUUACCAUGCUUAGUGGAGAAACCAGGAGAUCUUUAGUCUGAAUCUCUGCCUACAGCUAAAAGGAACUUAUCGUCAUGUUGCAGGAACACAAACUGUUUGGAUAUCAGAUGGUCGCCAUACAGUGCACAUGCUGGCAGUACCUGACAUAGAUGCUUCUUUUUGUUAAAGCGAUGGAAAAGACAUCGAGGAAAAGCUUAUACAAAUUUCAGGUUUUUUGCAGUUGCGAAUUUCAUUGGUUUAACCUCUUUAUCUAAUUUGUCUUACAUUUGGAAAAAAACCAGCAACUGCUUUUACUUGGUUUGGACUUUAAAGUUUACUUUCAGAUGGAGCGGUUGUGCAUCAUGAAUAGGGUCCUACUACUUGAAAAACUUGUUUGUUUUGCUAGUUCUUCAAGCAAUAUUUUCCAGUGAAACAAUCCAAGAUAUUAUUCCUUUGGCUUCAAAUGCAAUUUUGAUUCUUGGGCAAGGAAGCUUAUUUGCAUAUACAAUUUCCUGAAGGUGCUUGGUGGUUGUCUCUCUAUUGCAUUUUACAACCUUAGCAGUUUAUUUUGAAGGGCAUAUCCAGGACAAUUUAUUUUGAUUUGUGCCAGUUGAGGGGAUUCAGGGAUCUGAAGUGUAUGUUACAGAAUUGGUUGCGUUUGAUUUUCUGAUUCCCAUGGUUCUGUCUGUCAUCAUUUCACAUGUCAUGAGCUGCAGUUGCCUCCAAGGACACUGAGCUCUUGCAGCUCUGUCUUGGUGCUACAAUUCUGGACCUGUUCUGUCUUGGUGCUGUUCUGUUUUGGACCUGUGCUACAAUUCUGGACCUGUUCUGUUUUGCUGUUCUGAUCUGUCUUGGUGCUACAUUGGUACCAUGGUUCUUGGAAUCAAGAUGGGGCGGCGGAAGAGAGCAACAAAUGGCAACGUAUUAUCAGCCUCUGAUGCAUGUCCACAGGAGAUUGGCACCCCGCUGACGUUCUCUGAUGAGACGCAACAACCAGAUGAUACACAAACAGUGGUGGAUGAGACGCAGCCAGGUG